rnacentral:rRNA from 1 species
UACGAGUGCCUCGAGCGUUAUCCGGAAUCAUUGGGCGUAAAGGGUGUGCAGGCGGUCUUGUUAGUCUUUUGUUAAAUUCUUCGGCUUAACCGGGGACGUGCAAAGGAAACGGCAAGACUAGAGGAUGCGAGAGGUUAACGGAACUCAUAGUGUAGCGGUGAAAUGCGUUGAUAUUAUGGGGAACACCAAAUGCGAAGGCAGUUAACUGGAGCACUCCUGACGCUGAGACACGAAAGCGUGGGUAG